rnacentral:rRNA from 1 species
GACGAACGCUGGCGGCGUGCUUGACACAUGCAAGUCGAACGGAAAGGCCCUGCGUUUGUGGGGUGCUCGAGUGGCGAACGGGUGAGUAACACGUGAGUAACCUGCCCUUGACUUUGGGAUAACUUCAGGAAACUGGGGCUAAUACCGGAUAGGAGCUCCUGCUGCAUGGUGGGGGUUGGAAAGUUUCGGCGGUUGGGGAUGGACUCGCGGCUUAUCAGCUUGUUGGUGGGGUAGUGGCUUACCAAGGCUUUGACGGGUAGCCGGCCUGAGAGGGUGACCGGCCACAUUGGGACUGAGAUACGGCCCAGACUCCUACGGGAGGCAGCAGUGGGGAAUAUUGCACAAUGGGCGGAAGCCUGAUGCAGCAACGCCGCGUGCGGGAUGACGGCCUUCGGGUUGUAAACCGCUUUCGCCUGUGACGAAGCGUGAGUGACGGUAAUGGGUAAAGAAGCACCGGCUAACUACGUG